UCAUGUCAUGUACAUGUACAAAAAAACACACAAGAAAGUAGAAAAGACAAGCCAGUUUGGUAACUGUAACACUCGGCGUUAGUGUAACGAAUGUUUGAGAAAGAAAUUAGUUUUCGAGGAAGAGUGUCCCUCUUGUUUCAAGCUGGCGGAUGAUGGUGUUGAGGGCGAUUGCCAGCAGCUACUUUGUUUCUGGGUUUACUGCACAGCGCCGCACAGUGUAUGAGCACAGAGGACAACAAUGACCGCUCAUCUGCUUGCUGAGCUUAAUGCUAGUACAUAGCAUAAUGGGAACACUGCUUUAGCUGUUGAUGCAGUGUGCUGUGCAAGGUCACAAUGAUUGUCGCAAACAUGACUUUCGACCACACAAGGAGAGCUGCCGCUGGUCGAUUGCAAAGCGAUGCAAGAGUCAUGACCGAGAAUCCAGCAGCGCUGUCUUCAAGGUGGAUGGCUGACCUUUCAGAGCUGCCCUGCUGGUGCUACCGUUCUGCAUGAAGGCAUUCCUAGAUGCUGGAUGGCCAUCGCACACGAUUUCUGGGGCAAAUCAUGUCGUCAUUGCCAUGCAAGAUCUCCAGGGCACUUCCAACAAGAUCUCCAGGGCAUUGCCAUGCUAUCCUGGAGCACACCAUUGCCUGUAAUCUGUCUUGCUGUUUUCAGCUUUUGCGUGUGCCAAUGGUAUUUCCAGGUAUGCUACAGGUGGUUUGGACUUUGCACGUACGCGUGUGUGCGCGUAGCCUUGAGCGUGAAUGCUUAGUUUCAGUUGAUGUUAUUUGGCACAACCACCACCACCACCAUACACCAUCAUAAUGACAUGCUGAUCCUAUGAGGCAAAGGAGACACAGAGAGCACCUGCUUGUUGAAAUGCCAGACAAUUGCCUAGCCCAUGGCUGUCAGAUGCUAUGUUCAGGAUUUCGUCUGUAAGGACCUUCUUGCCCGGGUUUUGUCAAGUGAGCACGCUAGCCACGCAUGCCCAAGUAUGGGCAAAGAAGGAGCAAGAUCAUGGUGCAGUGUAGGUAAUGGUGCAGUGUAGGUCAUGGUGCAGUGUAGGUCAUGAGGUAGUGUAGGUCAUGAG